rnacentral:tRNA from 1 species
GCCUUUGUGGUGUAACCAACACGCUAAGUUUUCGGUUUAGAGUUAAAUAUAUAUUUCAAAGGUU